UACGUAGGGUGCAAGCGUUGUCCGGAAUUAUUGGGCGUAAAGAGCUCGUAGGUGGCCUGUCGCGUCGGCUGUGAAAACUCGGGGCUCAACUCCGAGCUUGCAGUCGAUACGGGCAGGCUAGAGUUCGGCAGGGGAGACUGGAAUUCCUGGUGUAGCGGUGAAAUUCGUAGAUAUCGAGAGGAACACCGGUGGCGAAGGCGGCCAACUGGACGAAUACUGACGCUGAGACUCGAAAGCGUGGGGAGCAAACAGG
rnacentral:rRNA from 1 species